rnacentral:rRNA from 1 species
UGCACCGAAGCUGCGGCAGCGACACUGUGUGUUGUUGGGUAGGGGAGCGUUCUGUAAGCCUGUGAAGGUGUGUCGUGAGGCAUGCUGGAGGUAUCAGAAGUGCGAAUGCUGACAUAAGUAACGAUAAAGCGGGUGAAAAGCCCGCUCGCCGGAAGACCAAGGGUUCCUGUCCAACGUUAAUCGGGGCAGGGUGAGUCGACCCCUAAGGCGAGGCCGAAAGGCGUAGUCGAUGGGAAACGGGUUAAUAUUCCCGUACUUGGUGUUACUGCGAAGGGGGGACGGAGAAGGCUAUGUUGGCCGGGCGACGGUUGUCCCGGUUUAAGCGUGUAGGUGUGUGUUCCAGGUAAAUCCGGUUCACUUUAACACUGAGGCGUGACGACGAGGCACUACGGUGCUGAAGCAACAAAUGCCCUGCUUCCAGGAAAAGCCUCUAAGCAUCAGGUAACAUCAAAUCGUACCCCAAACCGACACAGGUGGUCAGGUAGAGAAUACCAAGGCGCUUGAGAGAACUCGGGUGAAGGAACUAGGCAAAAUGGUGCCGUAACUUCGGGAGAAGGCACGCUGACACGUAGGUGAAGUGAUUUACUCAUGGAGCUGAAGUCAGUCGAAGAUACCAGCUGGCUGCAACUGUUUAUUAAAAACACAGCACUGUGCAAACACGAAAGUGGACGUAUACGGUGUGACGCCUGCCCGGUGCCGGAAGGUUAAUUGAUGGGGUCAGCGCAAGCGAAGCUCCUGAUCGAAGCCCCGGUAAACGGCGGCCGUAACUAUAACGGUCCUAAGGUAGCGAAAUUCCUUGUCGGGUAAGUUCCGACCUGCACGAAUGGCGUAAUGAUGGCCAGGCUGUCUCCACCCGAGACUCAGUGAAAUUGAACUCGCUGUGAAGAUGCAGUGUACCCGCGGCAAGACGGAAAGACCCCGUGAACCUUUACUAUAGCUUGACACUGAACAUUGAGCCUUGAUGUGUAGGAUAGGUGGGAGGCUUUGAAGUGUGGACGCCAGUCUGCAUGGAGCCGACCUUGAAAUACCACCCUUUAAUGUUUGAUGUUCUAACGUGGACCCGUUACCCGGGUUGCGGACAGUGUCUGGUGGGUAGUUUGACUGGGGCGGUCUCCUCCUAAAGAGUAACGGAGGAGCACGAAGGUUGGCU